rnacentral:rRNA from 1 species
AGUGAACGCUGGCGGUAGGCCUAACACAUGCAAGUCGAACGGCAGCACAGUAAGAGCUUGCUCUUACGGGUGGCGAGUGGCGGACGGGUGAGGAAUACAUCGGAAUCUACUUUUUCGUGGGGGAUAACGUAGGGAAACUUACGCUAAUACCGCAUACGACCUACGGGUGAAAGCAGGGGAUCUUCGGACCUUGCGCGAUUGAAUGAGCCGAUGUCGGAUUAGCUAGUUGGCGGGGUAAAGGCCCACCAAGGCGACGAUCCGUAGCUGGUCUGAGAGGAUGAUCAGCCACAAUGGAAAUGAGACACGGUCCAGAAUCCUACGGGAGGCAGCAGUGGGGAAUAUUGGACAAUGGGCGCAAGCCUGAUCCAGCCAUACCGCGUGGGUGAAGAAGGCCCUCGGGUUGUAAAGCCCUUUUGUUGGGAAAGAAAAGCAGCAGGUUAAUACCCCGCUGUUCUGACGGUACCCAAAGAAUAAGCACCGGCUAACUUCGUG